rnacentral:rRNA from 1 species
CCUACGGGGGGCUGUAGUGGGGAAUAUUGGACAAUGGGCGAAAGCCUGAUCCAGCCAUGCCGCGUGUGUGAAGAAGGCCUUCGGGUUGUAAAGCACUUUCAGUGGGGAAGAAAGCCUUGGGGCUAAUACCCUCGAGGAAGGACAUCACCCACAGAAGAAGCACCGGCUAACUCCGUGCCAGCAGCCGCGGUAAUACGGAGGGUGCGAGCGUUAAUCGGAAUUACUGGGCGUAAAGCGAGCGUAGGCGGUCUGAUAAGCCGGUUGUGAAAGCCCCGGGCUCAACCUGGGAACGGCAUCCGGAACUGUCAGGCUAGAGUGCAGGAGAGGAAGGUAGAAUUCCCGGUGUAGCGGUGAAAUGCGUAGAGAUCGGGAGGAAUACCAGUGGCGAAGGCGGCCUUCUGGACUGACACUGACGCUGAGGUGCGAAAGCGUGGGUAGCAAACAGGAUUAGAUACCCUUGUAGUC